rnacentral:lncRNA from 1 species
AGAACUCCCACUGUAAGCCUUGGCUUAUUACUUGGGAAUGACUAAGAAGAAGAAAAAAUGAGGUAUAUUAUUUGAUCAUUGGACAAUUAUGAGAGAGCAAUAUAAUAUGUCCAUAAAAAAGGCAAGUAAAAUCCUAAGAAGUGCUGCAUGAAAUGCUUCCAAGGGAAAUAAGGAAGCAAUGAUGUCACUGGACAAGGCCUGAGGCUUGGUUUGGAGUACUGACCAAAACUCUUCAAGGCUGACUUUCAGACUGGACCACGUCUGAAGAAAAGGGUGGACAAAUUGUAUAUCAAUACAUUGUUUUAGGCUUCUCCUUUUGGGGAAGUACUGUUUGCAUUGAAGAAUAAGGAUGGCACAAUAAAACAUACAUCUAAAUCAACCAACCAGAAAUAGAUUUUGAAUGGAAAUCGGUCUUCCCAAAGAAGUGGUCCCUAGAGAUGAGAGGAGGUCUUCUGCACACGUGGCAGCACUACAGCCAGCCCCUGCCCCUACCUCCUUAGGCCAGACCCAAAGACUCAUUCCCUUCCUUACUGCGAGACCAACCGUGCGCUCAGUUCUCCCCAUCUGAUCUAGUACCUGCUUCACAAGGAAGAGACUCAGAUCACCUUCUGUCCGGAGAGACCUGGGAACAGUCAAUACGUCACCUAGUGCCACCACAGCAGAGGCAGCUUGGCAGUACGGCAGCAUCCAAACCCAUGGGGAACGGGGCUGAAUGCAAAGCCCUUCAUAAUGUCAACCCUGCAGCAUGAUGCCUGGCAGACAGAGGCUGAUCGCUGAGCUUGUCCCGGAGGGAUGGAUGCCCAGCAGUCAGUACAGAGCUGCCAGAGAAGCACGAUCCCCAGCACCUCGCCCAGACCUGCACGAGGACAGAGCGGCAAUGCAUGGUUAGCAACAGAGGGCUGUGGGCCAGGAUGAGAAAGAGCCAGCUUGGAAAUGCUUGUGGGGGAAACCUCAACAAAAGGGGAACAUAACCUCACUGCUCUGCAAAAUCCUGGGAAACAUUAAUACUGCGGUAUUAAUUGUAAGUCACAGGAAAUUAUUAUAGGAUCGGUUAAGUACAGGGGA